UUGUAUUUAAGUUUUUCUUGUAACAUGAAUGAUGUGUGAUACUAUCCCUAAACCCAUUCUUGUUAUUAGGUAAUAAGUUGUCUCCAUGCCAUUUGAUGGCUGCUGACUGUGUUUCUUUGUUUGCUUAUGCCUAACAAUCACCGUUGUAGAUUGUAAUUGUAAAUAUACCUCGUGAAUGAAGUAAAAUUUUCAUAUGUUUUCAGCUGCAUUUAAAACUUAUCUGAGAAGUUGAAAAAACACAGAAUCAAGCAAGAGGUCUUGUGCGAUAAAAAGAGCGUUUGGCUGUUAUGAAGACAAGUUCAUUCCAAUUCCUAUUCCUCUCAUUGAUCUCCAUCAUCAGGCAUUCCUACAAGUAAAUCUGGGUUAUCAUCAUCAAUUGUAUCCUAAUUUCUUUUGCUUCUGUUUUUCUCAGAUGCAGCAAGAGUAGGAGGCUUAGAUGGAGUAUUGAUACCUUCGGCCUGGGAUCAAAAAUGGUACUGGAAAUCAUAACGGCAAACACUGAUACUGAUCAAACCUUGGUGGGAGGGGCCGUAAAUUAUGUAUAGACAUGAUGUUCUAUUUUUUUAAGUUUGUAAAUAUGAUAAAGCGGGCUAUGUAAUUCAGUGAUGCAAUAGAAAUAUUUACUAUCAAUUUUUAUGAGGUUAAAUAAUUUAUUUAUUGGUGUAA